rnacentral:lncRNA from 1 species
GGGAACUAGAUGGUGGUCUCUGGGGCCCAUAGACAGGAAAGUUUGCUUAUACCCAGGUGGGGGGACCACUAAUUGACAUUCCUUUCCCCUUCCAGGGACCUUACAGAAUCUCCUUACCCUCACAGUACUGGGGGACAACCAGUGGGUGUAAGGCCAAAUAGCAAUAACCUUGUUACUUGCCAGCAAUUGGGUCAAGAUUUGAUUUAACAAGCUUGGUUUUGGGAACUAAAAAAUGAAAAAAGGAAAAGCCAUAAUCUUGAAAGGCAACAAGAGAGAAAACUGCUAACAGGAUCUUGAUUAAAUUUCUCCGUCUUAGAGAAUGUUGUACCGACGACACAAGACCUCAGACUUGUGUUAUUCUAGCAGCUGAACACACCCCAGGCUCUUCUGACUGGCAGUGGCUCUGGAAGCAGUCUGGUCUAUAGAGUUAUGGAUUCACUACCAGAUUCUACUGUAU